GGCGGUAAGCUCCAACAAGGAUAAUACGGCAAUCACGUAUUAUCCUUGAUUUUCAUAUGCUUCAACCGGUAUUAUCUUCGAUUUUAAUCGAGGUAUUAACUUUAAUACGCCGAUUUCGGAGUAAUAAAGAAAAUCCGAGAUUAGUGAAGUGGUUGCGUACUGUGUACUACACACACUAAUGCAUCGUGGAAACGUCAAAAACAAACAAAUCAAAACAAAAUGUUGCCUUCGCGGGCGGAUGGUCGUUUUUUGGAAGUGCUGUGUUGCCCCGAGACUCGGUCGUUAAUGGCAAGUGAUACGAUUGGAUCUCGUUCUACGGGAACUGCCUGCAACGACAGUCCAGGUUUACCAAACAUAUCGUCAUGCAACUUUUUGGGAAAUGCCGGCUGUAUCCAGACACGCAACGGGAGCGCAUGUUACAAUAUUGUGUAUUGCAUCUUUGAGGAACGAGCAAGAAGAUGCAGAAUAACACUGGAAUACUGCUACUACUCCCAAUCUGAGAGUCCCAGCUCCCAAAGUAUAUUGCGGCACUUCAAGUUCAGGAAGAUCUUGGAAGACCAUACCGACAGGUUUCUAUUUUCAUGUCCAAGGGUCAACUUCUGCAAAGCCUCAAAAAUGCACAGAGAAUAUCGGGCGGACCGGGCGGAUUUACGAUAGAAUAGAGUGGUUCGCAAACUACAACUUCCGAAGGGAAAGCGAUCAGUUAUGAAGAAAAAACGACAAUUGAAAAGUGCUAAGUAUAAAUGAAAAUAAUAAAAUUACGUUUUUCCAUAUUUCAUGGAACAAA